CCAGAAUGGAAGACAGAUCACCAACCUUGCUAAUCGGACAACCAGAAACUCCAUCUGAAAAGGAUUCCUGCUCAGGCUGAUCAUGACUCCGAGUUAACAUCGCAGUGCCCGGCAGCCGCCUGUGAAGUGAUGUGACUCAGCUCUGUCUCUGAGAGACAGGUGUCCACUUUAGAAAACCACCAACCCACUCAGCAGCCCUCACGACAAAGGCAAUCAGUGACUGAGGAGUCAGCAUCUGAGGCGACUGCAGGAAGGCAUCUCCGGGAGAGGCAGAACUGAAGCAGCCAGCCUUGUGUUAAAAAUAAAAUUCAGUUCAAUCCAAGAAA